rnacentral:rRNA from 1 species
GAUGAACGCUGGCGGCGUGCCUAAUACAUGCAAGUCGAGCGAACGGACAAGAAGCUUGCUUCUCUGAUGUUAGCGGCGGACGGGUGAGUAACACGUGGAUAACCUACCUAUAAGACUGGGAUAACUUCGGGAAACCGUAGCUAAUACCGGAUAAUAUUUUGAACCGCAUGGUUCAAAAGUGAAAGACGGUCUUGCUGUCACUUAUAGAUGGAUCCGCGCUGCAUUAGCUAGUUGGUAAGGUAACGGCUUACCAAGGCAACGAUGCAUAGCCGACCUGAGAGGGUGAUCGGCCACACUGGAACUGAGACACGGUCCAGACUCCUACGGGAGGCAGCAGUAGGGAAUCUUCCGCAAUGGGCGAAAGCCUGACGGAGCAACGCCGCGGGAGUGAUGAAGGUCUUCGGAUCGUAAAACUCUGUUAUUAGGGAAGAACAUAUGUGUAAGUAACUGUGCACAUCUUGACGGUACCUAAGCAGAAAGCCACGGCUAACUACGU